rnacentral:tRNA from 2 species
GGGGGUACAGCUCAGGGGUAGAGCAUUUGACUGCAGAUCAAGAGGUCCCUGGUUCAAAUCCAGGUGCCCCCU